AUGUUGAUGUAAGACUACUUCGCGGAGAAUCCUACAUAUCCACCGCACCUCUUCCGGAGAAGGUACCGAAUGCGCCGAUCCCUCUUUAUCAAAAUUGUUCAAGCUUGCGAGGCAAAUUGCCGGUAUUUUACUCAAAGAAGAAAUGUUGCGGGCUUAAAGGGAUUUAGUGCAUAUCAAAAAAUCUCCGCGACAAUGCCGGUGAUUGCAUACGGUGUUCCGGCUGUCUAUGUCGAUGAGUACCUUCGCAUUGGUGAAGAUACUACAAUUGAGUCUGUGUGUAGAUUUGCAAAGGUGAUCAUACGUGUCUUUGGUCCUGAGUAUUUUCGGGCACCCAACGAAGAUGACACAAAUAAAUUGAUGGCAACUAAUGAGAGGAGAUGUUGA
rnacentral:rRNA from 1 species